rnacentral:lncRNA from 1 species
GGAUAAAGCUAGAAACACACAAGCAUAUAUUGACGGGGAUAUCGACAUGAAGAUGGACAUCAAGGUGGAUGUGGACAUGAAGGGGAAUAUGGGGGUGGAUAUGAAGCAUGUGAGCUUUUGUUCUUCAGAUUGAAUUUAUCAUGGCUGGUUGCUUAAAAAGCUUUCUUUCUAUCCUAUCCUGUGUAUGCAGUUGGAAGUGGACAAGCCCAUGGCGAAAGCAGGAAUGCAACCACAAGCAAGCUGAGGAGGUAAUAUCCAUGUUUCCAAGAAUUUUUCAUGCCCACAACUCUGUAAAUAUUUUCUAUAGUACAGUACUGAAGUUUACAAAAUAUUUUUCCUGGUUGCGUACCUUCUACAAAAUAUUUCCUACAGGAAAUAGUACAAUACUGAUGUUUUUCAGUACUAUAAAUGUAUUUCAGUAUUGUACUAUAGGAAAUAUUUCAGUACUUACGAUUCUAAAUGACAACCAGAUUCUAAACUCCACUACUGUACAGUACUGAAGCAACUUGUACUCUGGAAAGUACCGAAGUUUACAAAAUGAAAAUUUUCAUGCCCUCAACUCUGUAAAGUACUGAUUUUUGGCAGAUUCUAAUUUGUUAAUAUCUAGCUAUACUGGCAGCUCCUUGCUCUUCCUACUCUGGCAAAUUUUGCCUGGUUGCGUUGUUUUUCGCCGUGACAAAACAGAUUCUUUAUGAUGGGUAUUGCUGCUGCAUUUCCUGAAGUAUUUGGAUUGACGUGUCUCCGCCCCUGCCUAUUUGUACUGCUCAGUGUACUAUGUACGUACAGUAUACAUUCAUGCCUAUUUGUAUGGAGUUUUGCCUAUUUGUUCAAUAUAUAGUACUGCAUAGAGUUUUGCCUAUUUGUACAGAGUCCAACAAUCUAUUGUAUAUAGUACUGUAUCGAGUUUUAGUCAUAGCUUUCACUAUUAAGUUCUAAUUUGUUUUGAACGGAGCAGGUUUUGCACCAGCGGUGCCAAAACUGCUAAAUAUAUGAAUUUGUGCAAAUUUGUUUAACAUUUCUACACAUACAUGCUAGUUUCACCAAAAAGUUGGGACUACCCAGCUUGUACGUGGCUUCACCACUGAUUGUACAAGUUCUUGUUUUGCUUAUCUGCACUUGGAAGAUUUCUGUAUGUGCACUUCAAACAAUUCCUGCUUGAUCAUUGCUUGCUGUGAUGAUGAAGUGUUGUACAUUUACAAGAAUUCUAUUUUCGCCGAGUAGUUAAACUGCCGCAUGUUGUUACUUAAAAAAAUAUCUGAAAGGAGAGCUACAUUUCGAAUUUCCUAUCUGUUGCAGGUUUCACUAUAGAUGUUGACGGAGAUUAGGAAGAUCUUGAAGCCGCUGAUGAUUUGGAAAACCUAUGAUUAAAUUGCUGAGUGAUUAUGUAAUAUGCUAUGUUUGUUGAACCUGGACACUUGCUGUCUUGCUCUGCUCAUUUGCUGGUUAAGCCACUAUAUGCUCAUUUUGGUUGUGUGGCACCCCCAUAAACAUAUGUACUUUCUCCUUUUGUGGCAAUACUUCAGUUUGGUUGUGGCACAUUUAACAUGUAUGUAAUGUACCUUUUGUGGCAGAACCUCCUUAUAUACAUGUGGAUAUUAUGUUUAUCUGAUGAUGUUUAAG